GCGAGCGUAGUAUAGUGGCAGUACUUCUGCUUCCCAAGCAGAGGACACGGGUUCGAUUCCCGUCGCUCGCA
rnacentral:tRNA from 1 species